rnacentral:rRNA from 1 species
GUGGGGAAUCUUGCGCAAUGGGCGAAAGCCUGACGCAGCCAUGCCGCGUGAAUGAUGAAGGUCUUAGGAUUGUAAAAUUCUUUCACCGGGGACGAUAAUGACGGUACCCGGAGAAGAAGCUCCGGCUAACUUCGUGCCAGCAGCCGCGGUAAUACGAAGGGGGCUAGCGUUGCUCGGAAUUACUGGGCGUAAAGGGCGCGUAGGCGGACAGCUUAGUCAGAGGUGAAAGCCCAGGGCUCAACCUUGGAAUUGCCUUUGAUACUGGCUGUCUUGAGUUUGGGAGAGGUGAGUGGAACUCCGAGUGUAGAGGUGAAAUUCGUAGAUAUUCGGAAGAACACCAGUGGCGAAGGCGACUCACUGGCCCAAUACUGACGCUGAGGCGCGAAAGCGUGGGGAGCAAACAGGAUUAGAAACCCUUGUAGUAC